GUAAGUCUCAGUUCGGAUUGAAGGCUGAAAUUCGCCUUCAUGAAGCCGGAAUUGCUAGUAAUGGCAGGUCAGCAUACUGCCGUGAAUACGUUCCCGGGCCUUGUACACACCGCCCGUCACACCAUGGGAGUCGGAAAUGCCCGAAGUCAGUGACCCAACCGUAAGGAGGGAGCUGCCGAAGGUGGAGCCGGUAACUGGGGUGAAGUCGUAACAAGGUACC
rnacentral:rRNA from 1 species